rnacentral:rRNA from 1 species
AUUGAACGCUGGCGGCAGGCCUAACACAUGCAAGUCGAGCGAGCGGCGGACGGGUGAGUAAUGUAUGGGGACUGCCCGAUAGAGGGGGAUAAAUACUGGAAAAGGUGGCCAAUACCGCAUACUAUCGGAUAACCCAUAUGUGAUUAGCUGGUAGGUGGGGUAAAGCCUCACCUAGGCGACGAUCUCUAGCUGGUCUGAGAGUAUGAUAGUCCCCACUGGGCUGGAGACACGGCCAGGACUCCGACGGAGGCAGCAUUGGGGAAUAUGGCACAAUGGGCGCAAGCCUGCUGCAGCCCUGCGGCGGGGAUGAAGAAGGCCUUGGGUUUUGAAAGUACUUUCAGCGGGAAGGCGUUACCCGCAUAAGAAGCACCGGCUAACUCCGUGCCAGCAGCCGCGGUAAUUC